GUAUGGCUAAUUAGAGUGUGUAUCGAGGCUUCGAGUAAAACCUUUCAGAAGUUGAGAUAAAAGUGUUUUGUUUAUUUGUUUAUUGGUUAUAGUCAAUUUUUGGGUUUGAUUUAACUUAGUUGAACAGUGUGUUCUGGCGGGUUUAGGUAGAACUCUUUGUUCCGGAACGGAUGAAAGUUACUCAUAAGUAAGUAAAUUAAAAGAGCCAUGAGGGAAUGUAAAUUAAAUUACGGAUUCCUUACACUGCGAAAUGUACGACAUUUGCGGCAGAGAGAAAAAAUAAUGCAUUGGAUAAUAAUGUUAUCGGGUUAAUUGUAUCUAAAGGUAGCAUGGUCAUUUAAGUAAACAUAUCCGUAGACGAUGUUUAAAACUUAUGAUUAAUGAUUUGAGUCAAAGGGGAAUUAUCAUUAGGUUUUAGUUAUAGUUCACUUAUUGAGUUUCUGAUUCGAGGUAGCAUUAGUGAAUGAUAGUUAGGGAUGUGGUGUCACUUUUAGAGGCCUCCUGGGAUUAUAAUUUUGGGGGAGAGAGCAGCUUUAAACGACCAAAUUGAAAAAGGUCUGCAAAUUAUAUAUAUAUAAAACAACUGUUACAAUGAUUUGUUUUAGUGCAAGGAGAUUUUAAAGAGGCACGCUCACAUAUGGAACCUUAUGAGAUGUUUUUUUAUGGGUUUGAAUUAUACAGGUGACUAUUUCUAUUGUAAGGAUAAAAGGGAUCUUUAUGUCUAAUAUGGUAUGACCUUUUGACCUUGUCAUGACUGGCUUCUGGGGUCUGAUCAGCCCCAGGGGAGAGUCAUUUGUAUAAUGAAUGGAGUCAUAUUGAGUUACUAGUGUUAAGGUAAAUUCAUUAGAAAUGAAGCAGUUUUGGUUGAGGGUUUAGAAUUACUGUUUGAACCGCAAAUGAGAAAGCGGUUCAGGAUUCUGUCUUAUAACAUUAGCUGUGAGUUUUUUUGAAUGGGCUAUUAGGAAGUCUGUAUUGUAACAGAGAGAAAGUCAUGUUCAUCAUUGAGAAUAAAUAGGGGAAGAUAACAUAUUUUGAGCCAACAGGGCAGGGAAGAAAUUUAGGUAUUUUUAUUUGAUUUUAACACCCGUGUACAGGAGUGUCAAAAGACGGGGGACAUUACCUGUGUAAUGGGGGAGGGUGUCCGUAUGGGGAUUACAUGAUAACCAACUUGGAACAGUUCUGGGACUGGAGAAGAGGAUAUCCUUAUGGCAUAGGGAAUCCCACAAAGGUGGAUAGGUUUUCCAUGAUAUGGGGGAAACCUGGGAGUACUGUUGAACUUUGUAAAGGUGAUGAAAUCCUACUAACCAUCAAAACUAUUAAGCUCUCUGAUGCAGGCACUUACACCCCCGGACUACAAAGGACCGGGACAGACACGGCGGGUGUGUUUUCUAUUAAGGUACUGCCAAAACCGGAGGUCUCAGACGGACCGGGGCCAGACACACUCCUCUAUCACCCCUGGACCGAACCUGUCACCACUAUGCUAAAAAUCCCAUUCAGGUAAUUAAUGUUAGACUAUUCAGCUAUUGAUCAAUUAGGCACGGAGACUGGUUUUGAUGGUAGGGACAAUUUGUGGCUGUCUUAUACAGAAUGGACUUGCUUAGAAUAUGCUUCUUGCUAGUCAGGGGGGAGUCUACAAAAUGUUCAGUGAACAAUGUUGUACGUAUAUCCCUAAUAACACCAGUCCAGAUGGUAGUAUAUCUAAGGGCCUUAAAUGGGCUGGAUGCACUAUCUGCUGAGAUGAGGACCAUGGCGGGGGUAGAGGAGUCUGACUGUCCACCCUGGUUGGGAGACUGGUUUGAUAAGUAUACUGGUAUGGUGGUUACUGGAUUUCUGACCCUAAUUCUUGUAUUAUUUGUUAUUAAUGUGAUGUGCUGCUUGCAUCAUACCGUGUUUUAAGAAGUCUGUUACAGAUGUGGUGAAGGCUUCAGGCAUGAUGCCUUUGCUUGAUGCUCCAGUUGGAGAGGCUGAGGUGAAGCAUGCUUUGAGGGGAGGAUAAGACUGACUGAGGAUGACCCAUGUAUGUUUGUUCUCCCUGUCGUGAAGGGUGGCAUGGUGCCCACCUGGUGCUGGAUAAGAAUAGCUGAGAGGACCAGAUGGGUUAUAAGAAUGCUUUGUUCUGCUUUACUCUGUUUUACAGGACCAAAGUUUUAUUCCACACUUUGCAACACAUUAAAUCCAUGUUAUUGUCAGAUAGAAUACUGAGGGUCCCCAAGGAGAGGGCUUGUUAGUGUAGGAAGUAUUUUUAAUAUGGUUAGCAUUUAUUAGAUUAUAAGUUUUUAAAUAGUAUUAUAUUUAACAGGAAUAUAGGACAUCUAUGAGGAGUUAGGAUUAUUGUUAGGAUUAAGAUAGAUUGAUUAAGGAAUUUGGAGAAAAGCCGCUCAUAGACAUGUUUUUUUUUUUCUAAAAGAGGGUCCAUGGGUUUGUAGUUCCCAUGUAGUUCAAAUUUGGAAAACAUGAGAAACAUACAGAGGAGCCCUCCCCCGCACUGCAGAGACCUUGAAGGUUGGAGAGCAGAGAAGUUAGAGGGGGGGCCAGGAAGAGCAAAGAUAACAUCCUAAAUGGAAUUUCAGACAUAAGGAUAAUUCACUAAAUCUUAUCUAAGUCAUUGUAUAAGAAUAAGGCAAGGGGGAUGGGUAAAUAGUGUUCUAGAAUAGGAUGUGACCUACGGGAUAAUUAACUAAUAAAAAAUUUAAAAAAUUGUUAAUUGGUUUGACGAAUAAGAAACUGUUUUAUUAACCAAACCUGUAUGGUCAAAAGUUUUAUGCCCAGCAGGAGAACUACAGAGGGAGGUGGCACACGAGAUUCAACCAGGAGACUGGAUCUGGAUCCAAUCACUAAAAAGAAAAAAAAACUGGAAGCAGCCUCGGUGGGAGGGACCAUUCCAAGUACUACUGGUGACUGCCUUCGCUGUGAGAUUAGCCGAAAGAGCUACCUGGGUACAUAUCACACAUUGUAGGGGGGUAAGUCACACUAGCGCUGUCGGACGAUCACAGGAGUAGGAGAGGAACCGUGACCCAUAUGGAACGGGGGUCAAACUCCUUCUGAAGAUUCCCUAUACCCGACCUUUCCCCAGCUGUGAGCGUUCAUAGAAGUGAAGUGAUGGCUUGGCCUCUGGCUGUUGAUAUGUUCUCGGGGAGAGGGUGGGGCUUCACGUGCGCACUGACCGUCCUGAGCUGUUUUAUUGUGGGGGCCAUAUUCCUGAUUCACCAUGAUCCCCGGAAAGUGCCAAAGAGGAUAAUUUGACUCAUGUGCUAGAUGAGGGAAAUGGGAUGUUACCUAAGAUUCUCAGAAGGUCACUGAAACAAAAUAGUAAGGAAGUGAGGGUGGAAUUGGGCAAGGAUCUCUCAGUAGAAUUUUGUGUAGAUCAAUUGGGGUCAUUCACCCCUUGGCAGUCUAGAACCAUGGGACUCUAUGGGAAGUAUUUGUGUAAAUCACCAUAUUGAUCGUGGACAGGUCAUAGCUCACACUGAAAGGGAUGGCUACGUAAACCCAUACACUCAAUUUGGGACCAGGUGGAGUAUAGUAAGGGUUGGCGUUUUGGACUGUGUUCCUGAACAGAGGAAGUAUUGUAUAAAGGUACGAAUAGUUCAGACCAAAGACCUCAAAGAAGUUAUAGAAGUGGAGACUGGGUUUGGGGAGUCCAACUUAUGGUUGGAAUGGAUUCAAUACGGCCAGAUCAGUGGCUAAAGAAGAAUAUUAUGUCUGUGCGAACGCUAAACCCCAGUUAACAACUAUCCCUUUUCCACUGAACGGAAUUAAUUCCCCUAAGGGAAUGGCAUGUAUGGUAAAGCUGUUCAUGAAAGCAGGAAUGCCAGAUAAUGACAGUUGUCACUAUUUAUAUCCCCAGGAACCAAGUUGGUACAGAGAAAAUGACCACUGACGAGACCAUGUCUGAAUUGACAGGCUGGUUGAACUCUGGGGAUUUCAAUGAAAUAAAAUGGGCCAGUGUCGCCAUCUGGUGGUUGUGCGGGGGAAUGAGUUUGACUGAUUGGACGGGUUAGGAAUGCCUUUUACACUCAUACAACACCAAGACAUGAAGUUAGCCAAAACGAGAGAGAAGAGAUGCUCCAUCUAGGUGUUUUGGCGAAAGAGUAUAUAUUGAUAACAUUGGGGUUCCACGAGGUGUGCCGGAUGAGUUCAAGGCAAGAAAUCAGAUACUAGCAGGAUUAGAGUCAAGUAUUUUUGGUGGUCUACUCUCAAUAAGAAUGUAGACUGGAUUAAUUAUAGUUACCAGAAGGGUUAUUAAAGGGUUUGUAGAACAGACUAAAGCAAUCAGCUGGAAGGCCUGACAGAAUAGAAUUGCAUUAGAUAAAAGGAGGAAGUGGGCGUGGUAAUCAGGACCGUGUCUUACAUCCCGGGUAGCACAGCUCCGGACGAAUCAGUGCCCGAAGCCUCAGCUGGUUUGACCACCCUGGCUCACGGGUUGGCAGAAACUCUGGGGUGGAUAAUUCUCUGAACUAAAUUGGGUAGACAGUAUUUAUGGAAAAAUGUGGUGUUUUGGGCUGUAUCUACCUGUAUGACUGUUUUAAUUUUAUGCGGCUGUUGUCUAAUUCCCUGUGUGCGAGGCCUUGUUUCCAGGACUCUGAAAAGAUCAAUGACACUACAGAUGGUGCGUUAUGGGCCGAUUCCAGGUUCUGACCCAUGUAGGACUGAAGGCAUGUCUACAGAGGAAGUGGACGAAUCUGGAUCUGUCUGGAUCUGUCAUUGUGGGGAAUUUAUGUUUGAUGAGAAUAGUGUUGAGAUGAAGGGGAAUCAGAUUGUAAUUUGUUUCAAUGAUUAAACUAUUUUUUAAUGAAGAUUGUAAAAAGAAAAAAAGAAAAAAUCCUAAAAGAGGAGUUAUGAUUCUGAUGUAGGUUUAAAAGCAGUUGGAGUUAAGGUUAGAAUUGAUUAAUGAAAUGUGAAGAGUUGGAUAAACAUUUAUAAUUGAUUUGUUGAUUAUUUGUCUAUUCAUAUGAUAAUCUGAUAAACCUCUAUAAAAAGGUUAGUUAAGUUCGUUUAUACUUUCAUUUUUUAUGGUUAAAUAAAACUAGAUGUAGAAUGGAAUGUAUAAUAUUUGAUCAAAGGGAGGAUUGAUAGAGGAAAAUAUGUUUGAAAUGACUAAUUAUGUAUACAUUCCAAUCAGAAACUGACUAGUCCAAAUGCUAUAAUGUACUGUCCCUCUUGCUCCCUUUCACAAUUGUAUAUAAUGUAGUCAGGAAGUUUAGUAACAAUGAAGGUCUGUUCCUUAAGUUCAUUCAGUUGUACAAAUCUCCAGGUGGUGGGAACGGGCCAUCUCCAAAAUGGUCGGGAAUGUUGAUUUAUGCUGACUGGCCUUGACUUCGUGCUGAUAACGCGGAGGCUUGAGAAUUAGAGGGGCCCUCUGUUUGUGAAACGGAACGUUUGGAAAACGCUGACGUCAUUUUCAGUUUAUAACCUGUGGUAAUGUGUGUAAGCAUUUAGUACUCACUUGAAUUAAACGCUAUUUACCUGGC